rnacentral:lncRNA from 1 species
GCGGGGGGCAGCGGGCCCAUCCGGGCGGCCGCCGGGCGAGCUGCGCGGAAAAGGGGAAAGAAAAAGGGGAAGGGGAGGAAGGGGCGGGGAGGCUGGCGGGGCGAUCCCCUCCGAGCCCACUUUCCGCCCCGGCGUGGGCCGCUCUGUCUCUCCCAGCGACAUCAUUGUCACCCCCUCCAGGGGCGAGGAGUUUGGGCUCUGGGGCCAGGCUGCUUCGGUGCACAUCUUGCUCCACUCCUUACAAGUGUGCGCUUAGGCAACUUACUUUACCCAUCCCCGCAGAAAAAGAAAAGGCUAGGACCCGUCCAGGGCCAAUCCAGAGUGUGUGGGGCCUGACACGCCAAAGACGCGGGCGAGGGGAGCGGCCUUUCUCGGGGACAGGUGGCCGUCAGACUCGAGGCUCUGCAAGGGGCUGCACAGCGAGGGCCCUGAAGCCGCAGCUUCGUUUGCUCCGUGUUGAACGCUUCUGUACGGCUCUUGGCAAGCCGACUUCAGAGGUCAUCUCUUCAUCCAUGCUGGUGAGCACUUGGAAGGAGAGCAUGAACUAAUGACCAUCCGAUCCGUGGCAGGCUGCAGAACAGAACGUGAGGGAGAAAGGAGCUGUAGAUGCUUUCUUAAGUGACCUGCAGAAAAAGGGAGGCUCUUGGGCCUGAAGUUUAAAGAAAUAAGUGAAGGAGGUCAAAAGGAAGAUCAGCCCUGAGCUAACAUCUGCUGCCAAUCCUCCUCUUUUUGCUGAGGAAGCCUGGCCCUGAGCUAACAUCUGUGCUCAUCUUCCUCUACUUUAAAUGUGGGACACCUACCACAGCAUGGCUUGCCAAGCAGUGCCAUGUCUGCAUCCAGGAUCCAAACCGGUGAACCCUGGGCUACCAAAGUGGAACGUGCGCACUAACCAUGGUGCAACCUGGCCAGCCCCUCCUUCUCCAUUUUUAGUAGAUUAAUAGCAAAUCACCUACUUCUUGUAUAAUUC